UGGAUCCAGACUUUGAUUCUGGCUCAGGACGAACGCUGGCGGCGUGCCUAACACAUGCAAGUCGAACGGAACUCUAUCGAAAGAUUCCUUCGGGAUGAAUUUGGUUGAGUUUAGUGGCGGACGGGUGAGUAACGCGUGAGUAACCUGCCUUUGAGAGGGGAAUAACAAUCUGAAAAGAUUGCUAAUACCGCAUAACAUAUGUUUGUCGCAUGGCAGACAUAUCAAAGAUUUUAUCGCUCAAAGAUGGACUCGCGUCCGAUUAGUUAGUUGGUGAGGUAACGGCUCACCAAGACCGCGAUCGGUAGCCGGACUGAGAGGUUGAACGGCCACAUUGGGACUGGGACACGGCCCAGACUCCUACGGGAGGCAGCAGUGGGGGAUAUUGCGCAAUGGGGGCAACCCUGACGCAGCAACGCCGCGUGAAGGAUGAAGGUUUUCGGAUUGUAAACUUCUUUUAUUAAGGACGAAAUUUGACGGUACUUAAUGAAUAGCUCCGGCUAACUACGUGCCAGCAGCCGCGGUAAUACGUAGGGAGCAAGCGUUGUCCGGAUUUACUGGGUGUAAAGGGUGCGUAGGCGGCUUUGCAAGUCAGAUGUGAAAUCUAUGGGCUCAACCCAUAAACUGCAUUUGAAACUGUAGAGCUUGAGUGAAGUAGAGGCAGGCGGAAUUCCCCGUGUAGCGGUGAAAUGCGUAGAGAUGGGGAGGAACACCAGUGGCGAAGGCGGCCUGCUGGGCUUUAACUGACGCUGAGGCACGAAAGCGUGGGUAGCAAACAGGAUUAGAUACCCUGGUAGUCCACGCUGUAAACGAUGAUUACUAGGUGUGGGGGGUCUGACCCCUUCCGUGCCGGAGUUAACACAAUAAGUAAUCCACCUGGGGAGUACGGCCGCAAGGUUGCAACUCAAAUGAAUUGACGGA
rnacentral:rRNA from 1 species